UGGUCAUAGCGAAUCUUUCUAAAGCUCUGAUCAGUCAAGAAGGGGGUUGUAUCAAUCCUCAGAACCCUGAGUGGAACUUUCUACAGGAUUUAUUAGGAGAAAAACCUUCCCGGAAGCUGCAGAAGGACAAAUACAGAAUCCGUGUCUGGGAGAAACCUCGUGGCCUGGUCUCCAUUAUUUGAGAUGAGUUACAUCUUGGAGGCCUGAUCUUUUGGCCAGAAGGAGAUUAAAAAGAUGCCCCUCAAGAUGGCUGUGCCUGUCAGCUGCAUGGAGCUUCGUUCAAGUAUUUUCUGAGCCUGAUGGAUUUACAGUGAUCUUCAGUGGUCUGGGGAAUAACGCUGGUGGAACCAUGCACUGGAAUGACACACGCCCGGCACAUUUCAGGAUACUAAAAGUGGUUUUAAGGGAGGCUGUGGCUGAAUGCCUCAUGGAUUCUUACAGCUUGGAUGUCCAUGGGGGACGAAGGACUGCAGCUGGCUGAGAGGGUUGAGAUCUCUGUUUACUUAGAUCUCUGCCAACUUCCUUUGGGUCUCCCUAUGGAAUGUAAGACCCCGACUCUUCCUGGUGAAGCAUCUGAUGCACGUUCCAUCCGGCGCUCAGCUGGGCUUGAGCUGACCAUACUCCCUGGAGCCUUCUCCCGAGGUGCGCGGGUGACCUUGGCACAUACAGCCAUCAUGAUGGUACUUUAAGUGGAGGCUGAAUCAUCUCCCCUUUGAGCUGCUUGGCACGUGGCUCCCUUGGUGUUCCCCUUUUACUGCCAGGACACUGAGAUUUGGAGAGAAUCCUGUUACACCUGGGAUUUAGGCACUUUCAAUCUGAAAAAAUACAUAUCCUUUCAGCACUCUGGACGGACUUGAGAACUGUCCUUACGUGACCUAAAGCUGGAGUAUUUUGAGAUUGGAGAAUUAAGAGCCAGUCUUGGUGCUCUGUGUUCACCUGGUUCAUCUGAGGAGCUGCAUCUACCCUGCCCAUGCCAUAGAUCCUGCCCUGUUUGCUUCUCCUGUUGCUGCUAGUGGACAUGAGGACAGAAUAACGGGCUCCCAGAUUCACAAGCCCCACCAAGAGGAUCACCCCAGGAACGCUUGGAGGCUGAGGAGUUCACUGAGGCUACUGCAUCUUGAGACUCAGGAUGAAGACCCAGCUUGGGGCUGUCAAAGGUUUUUUGCAUGUCUGACACCCAUGACUCCACCUGGACCUUAUGGCUCCACCCAGAAGCAAUUCAGCCCAACAGGAGGACAGCUUCAACCCAUUACGAUUUCAUCUCUGCCCCAACCACUCAGCAGCAAGCACCUGUUACCUGUCCACCCCCACCCCUUCCCCCAAACUGCCUUUGAAAAAUCCCUAACCUAUGAGCUUUGAAUAAGAUGAGUACGAACUUCAUCGCCCACGUGGCGUGGCCGGCCUCGUGUCUAUUAAAUUCUUUUUCUACUACA
rnacentral:lncRNA from 1 species